GAUGAACGCUGGCGGCGUGCCUAAUACAUGCAAGUCGAGCGAAUGGAUUAAGAGCUUGCUCUUAUGAAGUUAGCGGCGGACGGGUGAGUAACACGUGGGUAACCUGCCCAUAAGACUGGGAUAACUCCGGGAAACCGGGGCUAAUACCGGAUAACAUUUUGAACCGCAUGGUUCGAAAUUGAAAGGCGGCUUCGGCUGUCACUUAUGGAUGGACCCGCGUGGCAUUAGCUAGUUGGUGAGGUAACGGCUCACCAAGGCAACGAUGCGUAGCCGACCUGAGAGGGUGAUCGGCCACACUGGGACUGAGACACGGCCCAGACUCCUACGGGAGGCAGCAGUAGGGAAUCUUCCGCAAUGGACGAAAGUCUGACGGAGCAACGCCGCGUGAGUGAUGAAGGCUUUCGGGUCGUGAAACUCUGUUGUUAGGGAAGAACAAGUGCUAGUUGAAUAAGCUGGCACCUUGACGGUACCUAACCAGAAGGCCACGGCUAACUACGUGCCAGCAGCCGCGGUAA
rnacentral:rRNA from 1 species